GUUGGACAUCGCCAACCACACAUAAAUAUUUUUGAACCAUUGAUAAACGGUGUAAAAUGAAAUUGCUAAUUUUGAUCGUUGCGUUUUGUGUUGUUGCGGCUUACGCUGCCCCAGGCAUCAAUGAUGACAUCGGUGGUUUCGAUGCUCAUCAACAUGCGAUUGAUCAGGCUGCACAAGCACAUGAAAAUGCCUGGGAGUCUGCUUCAGAGACAUUUCAAAAUUUUCAAGAUUAUGUUCAACGGAACAAUCGUUAAUACUAAGCAUUUCAACGGCAUCCAUAGCGAUUUGGUGAGAAUCGUUUCGCUGUAGAGGUGGAAUUCAAUUUGAUUAGUUUGUAAUUCAUAAGCUUUUCUGUUUAAUAAAACUGAUAAAAUUGACAAU